rnacentral:rRNA from 1 species
GAUUUCUGGUUCGGCGCACUUGGCCCGCCUCGGUUUACGGGGUCGCGUGCCGGUGUGCGCCAUCCAUCCUUCGGAAAAACGUAUCUACCCUUCACUGGGCCGGAUACGCUAUUCCGAUCUUUUACUUUGAAAAAAUUAGAGUGUUUCAAGCAGGCUUUAUGCUAUGAAUACAUUAGCAUGGAAUAAUAAUUUAGGACUUCGGUUCUAUUUUGUUGGUUUCUAGGACUGAAGUAAUGAUUGAUAGGGAUAGUUGGGGGUGCUAGUAUUCAGCGGCCAGAGGUGAAAUUCUCGGAUUCGCUGAAGACUAACUUAUGCGAAAGCAUU